rnacentral:rRNA from 1 species
ACGAACCGAGCGAACGUUGUUCGGAAUCACUGGGCUUAAAGGGCGCGUAGGCGGGCUGUCAAGUCUGGGGUGAAAUCCCGCGGCUCAACCGUGGAACUGCCUCAGAUACUGACGGUCUCGAGGGAGGUAGGGGCGAGCGGAACUGAUGGUGGAGCGGUGAAAUGCGUUGAUAUCAUCAGGAACACCGGAGGCGAAGGCGGCUCACUGGGGCUUUUCUGACGCUGAGGAACGAAAGCCAGGGGAGCGAACGGGA